rnacentral:lncRNA from 1 species
UUUGAUUAUCAAUUUGUCGGCUUUAUUGCUUUUGCAUUUGAAGCUCAGCACAGCAAGGUAUUGAUUUCUUAGUAAUUAAAUUUCAGCACAUUUGACAGCAAAUGAAAUCUCUUGGCAUUCCAGUCCUAAACUUUGAAAAGCAAUAUUUUUAGAAACAAUUGAGACUUCCCUUUGCAGGAGCAUACUCAGCUAGGCAACUGGGUUGAUCCUACUCAGAAAAGACACAGGAGCAAACCAUAUAGAAAAUAAAAACUUUAUUUUUUCAAGUUUAUAAGAUAGUUCCCAUUACAUAUAACAUUAUGGUCAAGGACUCGACAGCCACAAAUGCCCGCAGUCAC